UCCUGGCUCAGAUUGAACGCUGGCGGAAUGCUUUACACAUGCAAGUCGAACGGCAGCACGGGAGCUUGCUCCUGGUGGCGAGUGGCGAACGGGUGAGUAACAUAUCGGAACGUACCCAGUCGUGGGGGAUAACUAUCCGAAAGGAUAGCUAAUACCGCAUACGUCCUGAGGGAGAAAGCGGGGGAUCGCAAGACCUCGCGCGAUUGGAGCGGCCGAUAUCGGAUUAGCUAGUUGGUGGGGUAAAGGCUCACCAAGGCGACGAUCCGUAGCGGGUCUGAGAGGACGACCCGCCACACUGGAACUGAGACACGGUCCAGACUCCUACGGGAGGCAGCAGUGGGGAAUUUUGGACAAUGGGGGCAACCCUGAUCCAGCCAUUCCGCGUGAGUGAAGAAGGCCUUCGGGUUGUAAAGCUCUUUCAGCAGGAACGAAACGGUCAGCUUUAAUAAAGUCGGCUAAUGACGGUACCUGCAGAAGAAGCACCGGCUAACUAC
rnacentral:rRNA from 1 species